rnacentral:rRNA from 1 species
AUCGAACGCUGGCGGCAGGCCUAACACAUGCAAGUCGAACGGCAGCACAGAAGAGCUUGCUCUUUGGGUGGCGAGUGGCGGACGGGUGAGUAAUGUCUGGGAAACUGCCCGAUGGAGGGGGAUAACUACUGGAAACGGUAGCUAAUACCGCAUAACGUCGCAAGACCAAAGUGGGGGACCUUCGGGCCUCACACCAUCGGAUGUGCCCAGAUGGGAUUAGCUAGUAGGUGGGGGAACGGCUCACCUAGGCGACGAUCCCUAGCUGGUCUGAGAGGAUGACCAGCCACACUGGAACUGAGACACGGUCCAGACUCCUACGGGAGGCAGCAGUGGGGAAUAUUGCACAAUGGGCGCAAGCCUGAUGCAGCCAUGCCGCGUGUAUGAAGAAGGCCUUCGGGUUGUAAAGUACUUUCAGCGGGGAGGAAGGCGGUGAGGUUAAUAACCUUGCCGAUUGACGUUACCCGCAGAAGAAGCACCGGCUAACUCCGUGCCAGCCGCCGCAGUAA